rnacentral:lncRNA from 1 species
CACCUUAACUAUUCCUGUUUUAUCUUUUUCUAGAUUAAAUUCUAAAAAAACUUUCUUAUAAAUACUCAGUUUUUUUACUUUUUCUUUCAAACUUUCAAAAAUCUAUAUUUUACACCUCAACAUUUCAAAUUAUUACAUUUAGCCUCCCUCGGUCAGGGUUCUAUAACUAUUCUGUCUAUUUCUUAUAAUUUAUACUAAAAAUAUCUUUCAAAAUAAAAGAAAUAUAUUAAAAAAUUAUUUUUUCUUAUAAAAGAAGUAAGAGUAAUUUGGUCAUUUUGUGCUCUUCAUUAACGUGGUACUCCCCUAAAAAUAUUUCUAAAAUUUUAAGGGUGCAAAAUGUAGAUUUUUGAAAGCCAUGGAGGGAAAGCGAAAAA